UGGGGAAUAUUGCACAAUGGGCGCAAGCCUGAUGCAGCCAUGCCGCGUGUAUGAAGAAGGCCUUCGGGUUGUAAAGUACUUUCAGCGGGGAGGAAGGGAGUAAAGUUAAUACCUUUGCUCAUUGACGUUACCCGCAGAAGAAGCACCGGCUAACUCCGUGCCAGCAGCCGCGGUAAUACGGAGGGUGCAAGCGUUAAUCGGAAUUACUGGGCGUAAAGCGCACGCAGGCGGUUUGUUAAGUCAGAUGUGAAAUCCUCGGGCUCAACCUGGGAACGGCAUCUGAUACUGGCAAGCUUGAGUCUCGUAGAGGGGGGUAGAAUUCCAGGUGUAGCGGUGAAAUGCGUAGAGAUCUGGGGGAAUACCGGUGGCGAAGGCGGCCCCCUGGACGAAGACUGACGCUCAGGUGCGAAAGCGUGGGGAGCAAACAGG
rnacentral:rRNA from 1 species